UACAUAUUGAGCUUUUUAUCCUAACCACUUCUUUAUAUUUUUCUCUCAAUACGUGUUGAGAAGUAAUGGACACCAAAUUUUUACAUAAUUUAGUUGGCAUUAUUUCAAUUUCUUACGGUCAAUAAGGAGGCAAUAUCAAGUAAUGAGUAAAAUAUUAUAGCCGACUUUCCGCAUCGAAGAGGCUAACUUAGAAGAAGCACCUUGAUGGAGUGUUUCAAGUUUUUGUAACUCGAUAUGGUACAACUAUUCUUUAAAACAUGUUUUAUUAUACUUCAGCAGUUAUAUUGACUGAAUAUCAUGAAAGAACUUUUGGCAUUUGAUUUGUGUGAUGUUGUACCAAAAUUGUUAAUUUGUUGUAAUAUAUAUUCAUAACAACGUGGGUCAAGUGACGAUUUGAUUUUGUUGACUAUAAAUAUUUUAUUCUGAUCUUUAAAUAGAUCGAACUUGUAAAGAAACUAUGUAAGGUAAUCCACAAUUGCAUUAAUGGCAGCAAAAGAGAAGGAAUUAUGUUAUGAUAUCAAUUUGAAUCGACAGAAUGGUUGCAAGGUAUGGAACGUUGGAUUUGGGACUUUUUACUUUGUUGUGAAAACUGACUUAAUCAUUCAUGAAGCGAUAGAGUUUUUACAAUUUAUUAUAUUUAUUAUUAAGAUAUUUUGGUAAUUACUUUUAACUAAAGAGAUUUCCAAAGCAAACAGAAUAAUUUUAAUCAAUAAUUUUGUCCAAAUAUUUCCAUAUAAGUUUUGAUGUCUUAACACUUUAUUAAUAUUAUUUUAUUUCUAGACAUACAUAUUUUAGAAAAGAGCAAAUUAAAUUUGAAAGGGCAAUUAUGUUCUAAAGGCAAUUAAUGUCAUAUAUGGAUGAUAGAUACAAAGAUGAUAAAACUGAUUAACAAGAUAUUGUUUUAUACAUGAUAUAUUGACCGGAGCAAUCAAAUUUAAAAGAGAAGCCUACCAAGAUUUAAUUGAUUAAUGUCCAGAAAAAAAUAAUAGAGUUGUUUUUUUGACUGUAUCCACCAAAGGUCUCAAGGUUAGGAAAAAAUGCUGGAGUUGGUAUAUUCAAAGUAGUAAUAAUUUAUAUCUAUAUGAAAUAUUUCUAUCAUAUGUUUGCAUAAAAAAAGUUAAUUUAAUGCAUAAAUGUCCAUUUUAAUUUGACCUGACAUUUAUUGUCUUUCAAUUUUAAGUGUGCGCACUUAUGUAUUUAAAUUUGUAUGAAGUUGAACAAGUAUGCAUACACAUCCUAUGUGACAAAUCACUGAAAUUUUCAUGUGAAUGUCACGAAGGAUGCAUGUGUCUACUUGCCAAACUUUAUACAAGUUGAAGAGUCUACAUAUGUACACCCAAAGUUAGAGGUUAUAAAUGAUAGUUGAGGCUAAAUUAAAGAGUAUGGUUAUGUAUUAUGUCAAAAAUUUACUCAAGUAUAUAUGGCACAUAUAUAUUGUAAAAAUAAGAUAAAAUGUACGUGCAACCCACAUGCAGAGAUACUAGUUAUAUAUAAAUUUUGCAAAGUCCAAAUUGACAAAGUUAUAAUUACAUGCCACUAAUUAAUCUUCUGAUCCUAAUUAAGAUUUUAUUUGAGAUCAUUAAUUGAUUGAUAAAUUAGACCUAGAAAAAGCAAGAAGUGGCUAAUUACCCACUAGUUUGGUGGACCACAAAAUUUGAGACUUUGAUUAACUUAAGUCCACGUUCAUGCAUUAUUUAAUGGUAAGGAUUAUGAUUUAUGCAUGUCAGGGAAAAUUGGUGGAUUAAAGCUUUCGUUAUGCUCAUCAUAGAUCUCAUUUUGUUUAUGAUGUUGGCAAAGAAGUAAAGAUUCAUCAGACACAAGAGCGCAACAUAUGAUCGAAUAAUAUUACCAAUAAUAAUAGGAUAUUUAAAUGAAGACAAGUAUAAGUAGUGCGGAUGUUUAAUAGUUCAAAUAGAUUUAUUAGGUUUCUAGUGAAUCUGUUUUUAUUUGUGCGUGG
rnacentral:lncRNA from 1 species